UACGUAGGGGCAGGCGUUGUCCGGAUUUAUUGGGCGUAAAGAGCGUGUAGGCGGUCAGGUAGGUCCGUUGUGAAAACUCGAGGCUCAACCUCGAGACGCCGAUGGAAACCAUCUGACUAGAGUCCGGAAGAGGAGAGUGGAAUUCCUGGUGUAGCGGUGAAAUUCGCAGAUAUCAGGAGGAACACCGAUGGCGAAGGCAGGUCUCUGGGCAUUAACUGACGCUGAGGAGCGAAAGCAUGGGGAGCGAA
rnacentral:rRNA from 1 species